UUAAUGUCACUUGUCAUUUUAUUAUGAUACGGUGAUUGGGGAACAAUAGUGAAAGUGUCUUGCAUAUCAAGUUGUGAGAAGUUAUGAUCUGAGAUGAUUUUUGGAUCAUUUGCUUUACUCUGCUCGACUAAACUAGUCAUAGUGUUUGGCUAUGCUGCAAACAUGAUAAUUUAAAAAUUGAAGCCAUUUGUUAGUUAAGUCUAUUCUUAGCUAGAUAGUAAAUUGGCCAUGUACUCAAUUGUUAGAAUUGACCAUGGAUGUUGGGUGUCUCAGAUUCCUCAAUUUGUAAAUGAGCAUUCAUGAACACUGUGGCACAUUUAAAUUGUGUGGUUGAUCCUGUAAAGGGGAUGGGCCAAAUUCAAAUGUGAUGGUUGGUCAUAACAACAUUAUUGUGAAUUUGGUUCCAUCCACAGCUGAUGCAGUAAGACCAUUCAGGUACCAUCUUGUCCAACACAUCUGUCAACUGCGAAGCCACUCAAUCUUACAUAGGUUCAGGUUGCAGAUGAUGCAAAACACAUUACCAUGGAGGCACCUUCCGUUGUCUGAGAAUUCCAUGGAUAUUUUAGGAAUAUCAUUCUGGAUUAUGAUAAUACCAUAGAACUCAUAACUUGAGGUUAUUAAUGUGUGUGCGUGCUGAUCAUUUGGCUGAUUAAUUGGCAGAUAUUGACCAUGUUCUCGAGUGUACUAAGUACCCCUGCAAUGGAGGGUGACUUCCUCACUUAUUUGUCUAUGAUUGUCUCUCUUAUUGGGAGGGUUGUGCUGCAGAUCCUGCCUGAUCUUGCUUGUCACCCUUAGAACCAAUAUCUGCAUGUGCAUACCUUAGGUUCUGAUCCCAUAUAUGCAUUCAAAUGCUUCACAUAACCAGAGAAGUGAAAGUGAGAAUAUUUAUAGGAGCGCCUCCAUCAGUGGAUACUUCUUUCCAUAUAAUUCUGAUCUGACCUGAUGUCUUAUAUCCUGUGUAUGAUGUCUAUGCACGUGAAAAUUGCUUAUGGGAACAUGAAUAAUGAAGCGCUUCCAUCAGUGGAUACCUCUUUCCAUAUAAUUCUGAUCUGACCUGAUGUCUUAUACCCUGUGUAUGAUGUCUAUGCACGUGAAAAUUGCUUAUGGGAACAUGAAUAAUGAAGUGACAUACAAAUCAGUGCAAGCCAUUCUUUUCUUUUCUUUUCUUUCUUUUUUCCCUGCUUGGUCAAAUCUAUAUUUCAUGCCAUUCUCCUAUCAGAUAAGGAUGCUCUAAUGUGAUGAAUUUAUUUGAAAAUAGCAUGCACUUGAAAUUGGCUUUUUUAAAUAAGGUUUAAAAGACCUUUUUGAGCUCCUUGGAUCUGUGCUGUUUAUGAUUCCCCUAGU
rnacentral:lncRNA from 1 species